GGAUUGUAAACUCCUGUUGUUGGGGAAGAUAAUGACGGUACCCAACAAGGAAGUGACGGCUAACUACGUGCCAGCAGCCGCGGUAAGACGUAGGUCACAAGCGUUGUCCGGAAUUACUGGGUGUAAAGGGAGCGCAGGCGGGAAGACAAGUUGGAAGUGAAAUCUAUGGGCUCAACCCAUAAACUGCUUUCAAAACUGUUUUUCUUGAGUAGUGCAGAGGUAGGCGGAAUUCCCGGUGUAGCGGUGGAAUGCGUAGAUAUCGGGAGGAACACCAGUGGCGAAGGCGGCCUACUGGGCACCAACUGACGCUGAGGCUCGAAAGUGUGGGUAGCAAACAGGAUUAGAUACCCUGGUAGUCCACACCGUAAACGAUGAUUACUAGGUGUUGGAGGAUUGACCCCUUCAGUGCCGCAGUUAACACAAUAAGUAAUCCACCUGGGGAGUA
rnacentral:rRNA from 1 species